AAGCACCAGGAGGGUCAUGACAGACUUUCAAAGAACAAGGUUGUCGUGAAAAAGAAAAAUGUUUCUAAAUACGAGACAGGAGGAGGAGGAGAAAGUGGAUGAUGAGGCGCGUCAUGACACAAAGAACAAGGUGGGAAGCCAACCAGAGGGGACGGGGAGCAGCUGGUUGCCCUGGACAAAAUAAAAAAGGCAGCCAUUAUUGGCAUCAAUGGAGACUGGAUAAGAUGCUACAUUGAAGAAAUGGCCGGCAGCCAGCCGAGGGCAGAUAGGCACAGCUAUAAAUUCCAAGCUCGCAGAGAUGCGAAGAUCCAUUAAAUGAUUUUUUUUUUUUUUUGUCAUUUUUGUACAUUUUGAUAGUCCUUAAAUAAAUAAUGUAAAUUUCCACAUUUUGGGCUUUUAUUUUUGUUUCCUAGUUUGGAUUUUAAUAAUUUUACUAAUGUAUAGGUGGACAUAUGUGC